rnacentral:lncRNA from 1 species
AUGAGACAACUCAGAAUGAUGGGACUAGACUUUAUUUUAGCAGUUGGAUUAUCUCCAGCACUGGACACAGAAAGAGGAAGAAGCAUAGAUUUAUCCUACUUCUUAAAAUCCAGACUUCCUUAUUUUGAAGUAUCACAGACUUCUUCAGAAACUGUGCCUGUGAGCUACAAAGUGAUGGUUACAGGACAUAGCUUGAAUAUGAUCUGUCCGGAUCAAUUACAUGCUGGUAAUUGGAAACAGUUAUCUAGAGACAAUAGGACAGCCACACUCUCCCCAUUCCCUUCACUACCCCAUACAACACACAUUUGUUGUGCAUUGUUUCUCAUUCCUUUGGCAGAAGAAAAAACAACAACUUUGGAGUGGUUCUUCUAGCUUCUGUUGAUCAGCUGCCAUAUGGAAUGUAGAAGUGGGUCUAUCAAGCUACAAAUUCAUGGUAUUAUUUUCCUUCUAGCUGGAAGCAGGAAAAAUCUGUAGAUAUUGUUUGGGCUCCCCAAUGAAAGUUUGUGAAGCUGACCAUGUGGAUAAGAGUUUGUCUGCAACUAUAUUGCCACAGUAUAAUGCAAUUAUAUUGCAUUUCCAACUUCCAAAUCCUGUUAUACCAUCCUUUUUCUUCUUAAGAGUGUCACAGAGGAAAAGAAGCUAUAAAUAGUCUAGUAAGAAGGCAGUGCACUUUAUCUUUUCAAUGAUAUGGCAUGGACAAUUUUACAACUCUUUAAAGGAGUGUAAAAUGGGGAAGACAUUUUAAAUACGGAUAUUCAGUAAUUAAAUUUUAUAAUAAAAUAUUAAUAAAAUUAUAUUUAAAAGGGGGG